rnacentral:rRNA from 1 species
ACUCCUACGGGAGGCAGCAGUGGGGAAUAUUGCACAAUGGGGGAAACCCUGAUGCAGCGACGCCGCGUGAGUGAAGAAGUAUUUCGGUAUGUAAAGCUCUAUCAGCAGGGAAGAAAAUGACGGUACCUGAGUAAGAAGCCCCGGCUAACUACGUGCCAGCAGCCGCGGUAAUACGUAGGGGGCAAGCGUUAUCCGGAUUUACUGGGUGUAAAGGGAGCGCAGACGGCUCUGCAAGUCUGAAGUGAAAGCCCGCGGCUUAACCGCGGGACUGCUUUGGAAACUGCAAGGCUUGAGUAUCGGAGGGGCAGGCGGAAUUCCUAGUGUAGCGGUGAAAUGCGUAGAUAUUAGGAAGGACACCGGUGGCGAAGGCGGCCUGCUGGACGAAAACUGACGUUGAGGCUCGAAGGCGUGGGGAGCAAACAGGAUUAGAUACCCUGGUAGUCCACGCGGUAAACGAUGAAUACUAGGUGUUGGUGCCCAAAGGGCAUCGGUGCCGUCGCAAACGCAAUAAGUAUUCCACCUGGGGAGUACGUUCGCAAGAAUGAAACUCAAAUGAAUUGACGG